rnacentral:rRNA from 1 species
UGUCCAGGGGGCCGCCUUCGCCACCGGUAUUCCUCCAGAUCUCUACGCAUUUCACCGCUACACCUGGAAUUCUACCCCCCUCUACAAGACUCUAGCCUGCCAGUUUCGAAUGCAGUUCCCAGGUUGAGCCCGGGGAUUUCACAUCCGACUUGACAGACCGCCUGCGUGCGCUUUACGCCCAGUAAUUCCGAUUAACGCUUGCACCCUCCGUAUUACCGCGGCUGCUGGCACGGAGUUAGCCGGUGCUUCUUCUGCGAGUAACGUCAAUCACCAAGGUUAUUAACCUUAAUGCCUUCCUCCUCGCUGAAAGUACUUUACAACCCGAAGGCCUUCUUCAUACACGCGGCAUGGCUGCAUCAGGCUUGCGCCCAUUGUGCAAUAUUCCCCACUGCUGCCUCCCGUAGGAGUCUGGACCGUGUCUCAGUUCCAGUGUGGCUGGUCAUCCUCUCAGACCAGCUAGGGAUCGUCGCCUAGGUGAGCCAUUACCCCACCUACUAGCUAAUCCCAUCUGGGCACAUCCGAUGGCAAGAGGCCCGAAGGUCCCCCUCU